CGGCCCAGACUCCUACGGGAGGCAGCAGUGGGGAAUAUUGCACAAUGGGCGGAAGCCUGAUGCAGCAACGCCGCGUGCGGGAUGACGGCCUUCGGGUUGUAAACCGCUUUCGCCUGUGACGAAGCGUGAGUGACGGUAAUGGGUAAAGAAGCACCGGCUAACUACGUGCCAGCAGCCGCGGUGAUACGUAGGGUGCGAGCGUUGUCCGGAUUUAUUGGGCGUAAAGGGCUCGUAGGUGGUUGAUCGCGUCGGAAGUGUAAUCUUGGGGCUUAACCCUGAGCGUGCUUUCGAUACGGGUUGACUUGAGGAAGGUAGGGGAGAAUGGAAUUCCUGGUGGAGCGGUGGAAUGCGCAGAUAUCAGGAGGAACACCAGUGGCGAAGGCGGUUCUCUGGGCCUUUCCUGACGCUGAGGAGCGAAAGCGUGGGGAGCGAACAGGCUUAGAUACCCUGGUAGUCCACGCUGUAAACGGUGGGUACUAGGUGUGGGGUCCAUUCCACGGGUUCCGUGCCGUAGCUAACGCUUUAAGUACCCCGCCUGGGGAGUACGGCCGCAAGGCUAAAACUCAAAGGAAUUGACGGGGCCCCGCACAAGCGGCGGAGCAUGCGGAUUAAUUCGAUGCAACGCGUAGAACCUUACCUGGGUUUGACAUGGAUCGGGAGUGCUCAGAGAUGGGUGUGCCUCUUUUGGGGUCGGUUCACAGGUGGUGCAUGGCUGUCGUCAGCUCGUGUCGUGAGAUGUUGGGUUAAGUCCCGCAACGAGCGCAACCCCCGUCGCAUGUUGCCAGCAUUUAGUUGGGGACUCAUGCGAGACUGCCGGUGACAAACCGGAGGAAGGUGGGGAUGACGUCAAGUCAUCAUGCCCCUUAUGUCCAGGGCUACACACGUGCUACAUUGGCGCGUACAGAGGGCUGCGAUACCGCGAGGUGGAGCGAAUCCCUUAAAGCGCGUCUCGGUUCGGAUUGCAGGCUGAAACUCGCCUGCAUGAAGGCGGAGUUGCUAGUAAUCGCGGAUCAGCAUUGCCGCGGUGAAUACGUUCCCGGGCCUUGUACACACCGCCCGUC
rnacentral:rRNA from 1 species